rnacentral:sRNA from 2 species
UGCCUAGCUCUGCCGCAGUCCGGAAUCCGUUCGCAGACAAACCUUACGGCAGAGACGGGGAACCCAUUUUAGGCCGCUUUCGAGCGUGCCUUGGGGUGAAGUCACGAUGCUUCCGCUCAACAGCGGGAGAUAGUGGCCGGGUGACUCCCAUCCGAAUCCGACAGCUAACCUCGCAGGCAUCGGGAGAGGCUCU